rnacentral:rRNA from 1 species
UGGGGAAUUUUGGACAAUGGGGGAAACCCUGAUCCAGCCAUUCCGCGUGAGUGAAGAAGGCCUUCGGGUUGUAAAGCUCUUUUGUCCGGAACGAAACGGUUACGGCUAAUACCUGUGACUACUGACGGUACCUGCAGAAGAAGGCCCGGCCAACUACGUGCCAGCAGCCGCGGUAAUACGUAGGGGCCAAGCGUUGUCCGGAUUUAUUGGGCGUAAAGAGCUCGUAGGCGGUUGGGUAAGUCGGGUGUGAAAACUCCAGGCUCAACUUGGAGAUGCCACCCGAUACUGCUCUGACUUGAGUUCGGUAGGGGAGUGGGGAAUUCCUGGUGUAGCGGUGAAAUGCGCAGAUAUCAGGAGGAACACCGGUGGCGAAGGCGCCACUCUGGGCCGAAACUGACGCUGAGGAGCGAAAGCGUGGGUAGCAAAC